rnacentral:rRNA from 1 species
UACGAAGGGGGCGAGCGUUGUUCGGAAUUACUGGGCGUAAAGGGCGCGUAGGCGGCGACUCAAGUUAGAUGUGAAAGUCCUGGGCUUAACCUGGGGACUGCAUUUGAUACUGGGUUGCUUGAAUUCGGGAGAGGAUAGCGGAAUUCCCAGUGUAGAGGUGAAAUUCGUAGAUAUUGGGAAGAACACCGGUGGCGAAGGCGGCUAUCUGGACCGACAUUGACGCUGAGGCGCGAAAGCUAGGGGAGCAAACGGG